rnacentral:rRNA from 1 species
AUGAUUGAGUGCAAGUUACCCAAAAAGCUAACUAUAUGGCUGAUGAAAAGAGUAGACUGCGACAACAAGUGUCUAGUAUUCAGAAACAGGAAGGUUUCUAUAGUACAAGCUUUUGAAAACCUGUUGAAGUUACCUGCUCUUGACAAAGCAGUUCCAAUGCCCCGUCCAGGUAGGGUUCGUGACAAACCUUUCAGAGGUAAAACUGAAUUCAAGUCUGGUACGGCCGGAAGAGGAGGGUCACUCAAGGAAGCGAUAGAUAGGAUGUUAACGUACAAAGAGGAGAAAGACAAGGACAAGUUUUGCUUGUGUUUCAUGCAAGUCAUUCUUUGCGCCUACUUAGCUCCAAUGACUGGUUACCAAAUUAAUAGAAGUUACCUACUAGGAGCUUUGAAGGACUUGAGCGACAUACUCGUAUGA